UAGAACAUAUUUGAGAAAAGGGGAGAGAGCAAUAGGACCUCUUCAUUCACUUUCAUCAUCAAGAACAACCCUUGAAUGAGGGAAAGGGGGUUUCAUUCAUUCCACUUUAAAACUCAAAAUUUGGUAAGCAAUUUAAUUUCAUCAUCAACCUCUUAUCUAAAUUGAAUCCCUCUUACCAUCAUUCUUAAUUGUAUUCCAUGAUCAAACCCUUAUAUGAGAAAUUGAAGCUUUGGUCUCAAGAAGUGAAGGAAAGAAUAUUGGGUUUUAAGGUUUGGAGGUCAUGCAUGUAGCUAGGAAGGAAGGAUUUCAUCAUCAUCUUUGUCACCUUCUUCCAUUUCGAGAAAGAGGUGGAUUUCCACUCCUUUUAAGUUAACAUUGUACCUUGAUCCCCCGUCAUCAUCAAGAUGAACCCCUGAAUAAGGGAAAGGAAAGGGGUUUCACUCAUUUCACUCACAAACUCAUAAUUUGGGGGAGAGAAAGAGGAACUCAUCAUCAAGAACAACCCUUGAAGGAAGGCAAUGGGGUUUCACUUAUUCCAGUCUCAAACUCAAAAUUUUCCCUUGCCUCAAGAAAUGAAGGAAAGCGCAUAUAGUUUUAAAAAUUGGAGUUCAUGUAAGUGGGUAGGAAGGAAGAUUUCAUCAUCAUCAUCAUCUUUGUCAUCUUCUUCAACUUCUGGAAAGAGGGUUUUAGAGAUUUGGGGGAAAACAAGAGUAGAAGAGAAGGAGGCUAUGUCUUGAAGGGGAGACUAGAAGCUUGGAGAUUUCUAUUCAUGGUGUCAAAUUGGAGAUGCAAUUGGAGACCCAUUGACUUGCUUCAAUUGAUAAGGUAAGGGUGAGGUUCUCUUCCUAUAAUGGGGCUUAUGAAACCUUGUAUGUUGGCGAUUAGGGAUUUAAGUUAUUAUUUUCUUGUGUUAAAUUGUUACCGAAACUUGAAAUUAUGAGUUUUUGUCGUUGUUGUGCGUUGCUGAUUGUUGCCGUUUGUGUUAAUAAAUGUAUGAUGCUGGAUGUAUGGUGAGGGGUGCCGACCGGUAACUCCAUGGCCAUUUCAUUUUCUUGUUAUUUCAUUUUGUACCGUAAUUA